AUUGAACGCUGGCGGCAUGCCUUACACAUGCAAGUCGAACGGCAGCACGGGAGCAAUCCUGGUGGCGAGUGGCGAACGGGUGAGUAAAGUAUCGGAACGUGCCCAGUCGUGGGGGAUAACGUAGCGAAAGUUACGCUAAUACCGCAUACGAUCUAUGGAUGAAAGCGGGGGAUCGCAAGACCUCGCGCGAUUGGAGCGGCCGAUAUCAGAUUAGGUAGUUGGUGGGGCAAAGGCUCACCAAGCCGACGAUCUGUAGCUGGUCUGAGAGGACGACCAGCAACACUGGGACUGGGACACGGCCCGGACUCCUACGGGAGGCAGCAGUGGGUAAUUGUGGACAAGGGGCGAAAGCCUGAUCCAGCCAUGCCGCGUGCAGGAUGAAGGCCUUCGGGUUGUAAACUGCUUUUGUACGGAACGAAAAGGUUUGGCCUAAUAAGCUGAGCUCAUGACGGUACCGUAAGAAUAAGCACCGGCUAACUACGUGCCAGCCGCCGCAGUAAGAC
rnacentral:rRNA from 1 species